rnacentral:sRNA from 1 species
AGCAGUCAAUGCUCUUAACCACUGAGCCAUCUCUCCAGCCAGAAGCUGUGAUUUAUUACUGAGAACUGAAACUCUCAAUAGAAAAAGAACUGACGAUCCAAGGAAACUCCACCCUGCCUCUCACGCAUUUACUAGCCAUAGAUCGCACACUGUGUUGAUUUCCUCGUUAAAGUUGAAUAAAUGAGAAGUGAUAUCGGCUAUGAGAAGAGAUGCACAGAAAGCACCUAACAACAGUGAAAGUGUGGCAUUCACGGCUAACCCAAUCACAGUCUGACGUGCAUGACUGACCCAAUCACAGAGAGGAGGGAGAUUGCAACCCUAAGGCAAAAAGGCAAAACAACUGAAAAGAUGGCAAAUUUACCCAAACCUUAGAUAAUGGGCCUUUCUCUGGAUCAUUCCACUGUUUUCUGUACACUAACCAGCCUUUAUUUACUACAGAUCUCACAUUUUCAUUAUGGGCCUAAAAUAUUAAAUUAAAAUAUUAAAUUAGCUCAAGGAGAUGCUGCUAGAGGAGAUCAAUAUGUUAAAGCUUAACUUAUAAGACUACUUCUACAUUAGAACUAUUUUGUGUGUAUCGCUGCUUUGCAGAAUACCAGGUACAUGCCUUGUGCCCAGCAGGGACCACAAGAGUUCACUGGGUUCCUUGGAAGUGGAGUUAUAGAAGCCACCACGGGGUGCUAGGAAUGAAACCCAGGUUUAACUAAGCAGCAAGCACUCCUGAGCACUGAGGCACCUCUCCAGCCCCGAACUAACCAAUCUUUAACGUCAGGAGGAACGCACGUGGAUUUUAAUGCUGAGUAAGACAUUUUUGGGGGCAAGGCAGAAAGCCUAGGGGCUAGACUAGCACUAACGAUUGUUCAAAACAAAAACAAGGCCCUAAUGGAAAGCAAACCCAAGACACAUUCAGGGUUUUCCUCCCAAGAGUUAAAAUGAAUGGCUUUGCAAUGUUAUCUUUCUUUAGGUAAAGAUGUUCUGUGAUCACAGGUUUCAUUUUAACACUGCCAAGAUUGUGGUCCCAUGACUGGGUGGUAGCUGACUUCACAGUUGCCCAGGCCUGGAGAUAUAACUCUAAUAACAUCUCACAGCCAAGAUAAUGAACUCCUCACUUGUACAGGAAGGAUCCGUCUAUAAUCUCAAGCUACAUAGACAAACACCCACGAGGCAAUAUGGACAAACAACUCAAAAGUCACUUGAGGCUACAGAAACUGCUUCGGGUUUCAAGCCCAAGGAUCCAUUGUUAGUAAAACAAAUGAGGUGAGCACAUUUCCCUCCUGUACAGCCUAAAUCCUGGCUCUCGGGGCAUAAAGGGCGGUUUCACAAUUCCCCUGAAGAGCCCCUUCAAUCUGUUGUUACUACGCGUUUAUGUGAAUGUGUGGGCCUGUCUCGUUCACACGCACACGUGCACACGCAUGCACACGUGCCUGUCACUGCUCCCGUAGUGAAGCGAGCGUACAAUUUAUGAGAACAGGCUCUCUGAACAAAGGUCAUCAGGGUUGGUGACAAGCACCCUGGCGUACCUGCCUAGUCAUUUCAUUUUGAAUUUGAAUGACAGCACACUAGGAAGAGCUACAAUGUAUACACUGUAUUCAGCGCUAGGAAGACCUACAAUGUAUACACUGACUCCAAUUCAGGGGGUCAAAGGUCAGAGGGCAAGUAUCCACUGCUCGGGAUCCCCACAACUGAGUUCUCAGGAAGAAGGAGAUUUACUUGCCCCAGAGAGACAGAGGACAGGAGAUGGAGGAAGAGGGAGAAGGGGAAGGGAAUAGGAGGGAAGGAAAGGGGUAUUUGUCCCUCAGGACAACUGUCUCUGAAGAGAGGACAUGAUAUGUGAUCAUGACAUUGGCAAGGAAAUGGGUAGGAAAAAAAACCCCGGGAAAGGUGACCCCAGAAGGACAGAUGUGGUGUGCACACACUGGCUCACUUACAUGUAGGUAUGGACUGUGAAGUCGAUGAUAACCAAGCUACCAUCUGCAGAGCCACAGAGGGUGGGUGCAGAGUAAGGGGUGGCCACUGGGUGUGGGGGAGAUGGCAGGAUCUCCCUAGGAGUGGGAAUAGACUAGAAGGUUAGAGAUGGAGGGAGGGAGGGGCGGGAUCAGGAGGAUCCAGUGGAGACGGGAGAGAAGAGGGCAAUAAGGGAGGAAUACGGGGAAAGGCAGCUAUAAUCAAGGGCCAUUUGAGAGGUAGCAUGGAAACUCAACGCAGCAACUUUGUAAAAUAUACACACGCAAAAGAUCUAAAGAAACUGCCAAACAACGGGGCGAGACAGCCCCAACUGGACAUCUCUUAUCACCAACUGAAGCUUCCAGGACCAGGAUUGGGUUACAUCUAGCUGGGAUUCAGCCAUCCCCGAAAGGUUCUCACUCUGGAAGCAGCCAUGUUGGGAGGUGUUGUACCCUCUAGAGUAAUUAACUGAUGCGCUUCCUGGUGAGUCCUGGCUAUCGUGGGACUGGACUGGUCCCUCAGGAGUGGAUUACUCCACAGCAAGGUUACCCAGCCAUUCAGCCUCGUCCACACUGCCCUACUCACCACACUUGGCAGCGCUCCUGCAUGUUUUCUACUAUCCGUUAAAGCGGCCAGGAAGUCCUCAGAAGACUCCCGCACCACACACUAGGCUUUCCAGCCAGGAGACCUACACGGAGUGUCACAUCUCUUCUCCUUUCAUCGUCACCAAAGCCAAUGAGCAAGGCAUUACCGUUCCCAGCGUACACUGGGCUCAGAAAGACUGAAUCAUCUAAGAACACGCCACUGAAAACGCCCAGUCUGUUCUCAGGAUAACUAACUCACGCUGCUGGUGUGACAACUAGCGUGACUACUAACCGAUCAUGAGGGAGUAAAGAAGAAACACGGGAGGAACAAUUCAUUUGCAUCCCAGUGGUAUGGAGUGAGGUGACACACGACUUCAGCACACCGAUCAGAAUGGUGUGUUCUUUAAAGUGACAGUUCCUUUGUUCCCGGGAUUCCCCAUCUCACCUCUUUGGACUCUUCAAUACAACCAGCAGCUGAGGAGGCAGGACAGUCUUUUGAAGCCAGGACGUUUGAGUAUAACAAGUACCUAACAACACAGAAGGUAACUUUCUAACGUGGCUACUCCUUACUCCUCGAUGCUUUCUGGUACUCUCUCUUCUCUUGUUCAACAUUUCAAACAGCUUUCCAAGUUGUACUAAAUGAAUUCCAAGACCAUGGUGGGUCACCUCCCACAGUUAGGGGAGCGCUGACCUAUACCAUAUGUUUGUGAGCAUAUGGGCCACAGCCCAACCUCAACCAGAACAGAACACACAAAGCGGGGCAGGUUGCUGGUCUCCAUCCCUAACGGGCUGUCGUCAGCAGAUAAAACCCAUGAGCUUCGUUUCAGUGAGCUGCUCAGGAGACCGGCUUCUGCUCUCAAGUCGCUGAUUCUGUUCUAGACAUGUGACCGAAGGACAGGGAGAGGCUGGAUGAUUUUUCAAAGUCCCACUUCUAAUUGGUGGCAGAGACAGUAGCAAGGACCCUUGCCUCUGCCGGCCAGGCGAGUACGCUUCAACGCAUAAAGCUCCUUUGCUGAACCAUGCCCAUCUCUAGACCAGUAACCCAUACCUGACCUAUGCGCUAGGAACCAGAACUGCCAUGCCCAGUGGUGUUGUGGUUUGCCCUGAAGUAACUGUAUUUUGAUGCUAAUUCCACUGCCCCAAGGACAGCUGCCUAGUCAGGUACUCAGGACUCAGGUGACUUCACCAGAACCACCUCUCCAUUGAGUUUGUUAAGUACAGGUGAGGGGCAGGUACAGGAUAGAAGGAGGCCUGUCGUUGGAGGAGAAGGAAGGAUGGGCUGGAGAGAAGUUUGAAGGAAGAGGAGGAGACUAGGAGGGAGAAGGGAGACGGAGAGAGG